GGAGGGGUAGCGAAGUGGCUAAACGCGGCGGACUGUAAAUCCGCUCCCUCUGGGUUCGCAGGUUCGAAUCCUGCCCCCUCCA
rnacentral:tRNA from 1 species